rnacentral:rRNA from 1 species
UACGGAGGGUGCAAGCGUUAUCCGGAUUCACUGGGCUUAAAGGGCGCGUAGGCGGCCUUCUAAGUCGAACGUGAAAUCCCUGGGCUCAACCCAGGAACUGCGUCCGAUACUGGGAGGCUUGAAUCCGGGAGAGGGAUGUGGAAUUCCAGGUGUAGCGGUGAAAUGCGUAGAUAUCUGGAGGAACUCCGGUGGCGAAGGCGGCAUCCUGGACCGGUAUUGACGCUGAUGCGCGAAAGCCAGGGGAGCAAACGGG